rnacentral:misc_RNA from 1 species
GUGAAUCAUCGAAUCUUUGAACGCAAAUUGCACUCUCUUCGGAGAGUAUGCCUGUUUGAGGGUCAGUAUUAAUAAAAAUCGGUGUGUUGCUUCUUUGUGACGCUCCGGAGUUUGGGUCAUCUUAAUAUCCUUUAGGUUUUAAGAGGCUUAAAAUUGACUUUUUUUGGGAUUUUAGGUUGUAAUUAAAUUUUUUUUUUAUUUGGUUUUUUUAAAUGUCCAAAUUCUAUUAGAUGCGAC